rnacentral:misc_RNA from 1 species
UUUCCGUAGGUGAACCUGCGGAAGGAUCAUUCAUAGUAAGUGUUUUAUAGUGCGUUUGUAACUCCCUAUCCACUUUGUGUGCAAUGGCAGCCUUUGUCUCUUUUGAUCAGCCCCAAACAAUAACUAUUAUCUCAACUUAUUGUCUGAAAAAUAUUAUGGAUAAAACCAUUCAACAUACGACUUUCAACAACGGAUCUCUUGGCUCUC